AUGAACGCUGACAGAAUGGUUAACACAUGCAAAGUCGAUGGGGAAGUGGUGCUUGCACCAUGGUAACCAUGGCGGACGGGUGAGUAACGCGUAAGGAAACUUGCCUGGGGGACCGGGAUAACAGCAGGAAAACUGCUGACAAGACCGGAUAAAGGUCAUUAAGCCGCAUAGCUUGGUGAUGAAAGGAGACGCCUGCGGAGAGCCUUGCGUCCUAUUAGCUAGUUGGAGGGGUAACGGCCCACCAAGGCGAAGAUAGGUAGCCGGCCUGAGAGGGUGGACGGCCACAAGGGGAUUGAGAUACGGCCCUUACUCCUACGGGAGGCAGCAGUGGGGAAUAUUGGACAAUGGGGGCAACCCUGAUCCAGCAAUUCUGUGUGCACGAAGACGGUUUUCGGAUUGUAAAGUGCUUUCAGCAGGGAAGAAGGAAGUGACGGUACCUGCAGAAGAAGCGACGGCUAAAUACGUGCCAGCAGCCGCGGUAAUACGUAUGUCGCGAGCGUUAUCCGGAAUUAUUGGGCAUAAAGGGCAUCUAGGCGGCCUUUCAAGUCAGGGGUGAAAACCUGCGGCUCAACCGCAGGCCUGCCUUUGAAACUGAUAGGCUGGAGUACCGGAGAGGUGGACGGAACUGCACGAGUAGAGGUGAAAUUCGUAGAUAUGUGCAGGAAUGCCGAUGAUGAAGAUAGUUCACUGGACGGUAACUGACGCUGAAGUGCGAAAGCCGGGGGAGCGAACAGG
rnacentral:rRNA from 1 species